rnacentral:rRNA from 1 species
AUUGAACGCUGGCGGAAUGCUUUACACAUGCAAGUCAAACGGCAGCACGGGUGCUUGCACCUGGUGGCGAGUGGCGAACGGGUGAGUAACAUAUCGGAACGUACCCAGUAAUGGGGGAUAACGUAGCGAAAGUUACGCUAAUACCGCAUACGAUCUGAGGAUGAAAGCGGGGGACCGUAAGGCCUCGCGCGAUCGGAGCGGCCGACGUCAGAUUAGGUAGUUGGUGGGGUAAAGGCCCACCAAGCCGACGAUCUGUAGCUGGUCUGAGAGGACGACCAGCCACACUGGGACUGAGACACGGCCCAGACUCCUACGGGAGGCAGCAGUGGGGAAUUUUGGACAAUGGGCGCAAGCCUGAUCCAGCAAUGCCGCGUGCAGGAAGAAGGCCUUCGGGUUGUAAACUGCUUUUGUACGGAGCGAAAAGGCUCUCUCUAAUACAGGGGGCUCAUGACGGUACCGUAAGAAUAAGCACCGGCCAACUACGUGCCAGCCGCCGCAGUAAUAC